rnacentral:rRNA from 1 species
ACCUGAAAUCAGGCGGGACUACCCGCUGAACUUAAGCAUAUCAAUAAGCGGAGGAAAAGAAAAUAACAAUGAUUCCCCUAGUAACGGCGAGUGAAGAGGGAAAAGCUCAAGUUUGGAAGCUUCGUGGCAUAGCUACGACGCGUUGUAAACUGAAGUUUUUUGGGUGAUUGGGCGACCGGAUAAAUAAGUCCUUUGGAAAGGGGCAACAUAGAGGGUGACAUUCCCGUCUUUGGUCCGAGUCAGUGCAGUCGCUGCCCAGGAAACGACGAGUCAGGUUGUUUGGGAAUGCAGCCUAAAAUGGGAGGUAAAUCUCUCCUAAAGCUAAAUACUGGCGUAAGNNNNNUNGNGNNCAAGUNCCGUGAGGGAAAGAUGAAAAGG